AACAAAUGGUGAGAUGAACCAGGAAGGGGUUUAGUGAAAAGAUCAGCAAUUUGAAAUGAGGAAGGGAGAAAAGAGAGUGAAAUGAGACCGUUGAGAUAUUGUUGGCGGACGAAGUGACAAUCCAAAUCAACAUGUUUCGUCUGCUCAUGAAAGACUGGGUUUUUGGCUAUAUGAAUCGCGGCUUGGCUGUCGGAAUGAAGGGAAAUGGGCAAAGAAGGCGGGAAUGAGAGAUCUGAAAGAAGACGGGCAAGCCAAGUCAACUCCGCAACAACCCGUCGCAUAGAUCUGUACUCAGCUUCGGCAGAGGACAGUGAAACAGAUGGUUGUUUUUUUGAUUUCCAAGAAAUAGGACUUCCCCCAAGGCUGAUGUAGAAGCCACUCACAGAUCGCCGAGAGUCAGGGCAAGCAGCCCAGUCAGAGUCGCAGAAGGCCAGCAAAGUGAAAGAAGAGGAAGAAUUCAGAAAAAUACCUAAAUUUGGAUAAGCUAGGAGAUAACGGAGAACAUGAUAUGCAGCUAUAAGAUGCGCUUGAUGAGGUUGUUGCAUAUACUGGCUGAGAUGUUGAACUGAAAAUGAGAUGUCCGGGCGAGUAUGAGUCAAAAAAUCCAGUUGGCCGAUUAACCUACGAUAAGGUGUUGCAUCUGGUAAUGGAGAACCCAUAUCCGCCUGCAACCGCUUAGUGGGAUCCAAAGGUGAAUGAGCAGGCUUGAGACCAAGACAGUGAUACUCAGAAAGAAGUUCCAGAAGGAACUUUCGUUGGUUAAGAAUCAGACCAUGAGGCUCCCUAAUAACUUCAAUACCCAAAAAAUAAUGUAAGUCCCCCAAAUCUUUGAUUUUAAAUUCAGAGUCCAAAAACAAUUUAAGAGCAUCAAAUUCUUCCUUGUUGUUGCCUGUAAGUAAAAUGUCAUCAACAUAGACGGCUAAGAUAGAGAUAGAGGAGUCAUGACAUUUAUAAAAUAGGGAAUAGUCAUUCAAUGAGUGAGUAAAACCCUUGAAAUUCAAAGCUGCCGUCAAACGAGCAUACCAUUGUCUCGAUGCUUGUUUCAAGCCGUAAAGAGACUUCUUCAAUAGACAGACCUGAGUAGGAUCAGUGACUUUCAAACCUGCUGGAAAUUUCAUAUAAACUUCCUCAUCCAAGUCACUAUGAAGAAGUGCGUUGUUGACAUCUAACUGAUAUAGGCCCCAUCCUUUCUUAAUUGCAAUAACAAGCACACAUCGAAUAGUCGUAAUCUUCACAACAGGGCUAAAAGUCUCUGUAAAAUCAAUACCUUCCUUUUGAAUAUCUCCUCGAACAACCAAACGAGCCUUAAGACGUUCAAGACAUCCCGAGGAAUUCAAUUUAACCUUGUAGACCCAUUUAUUAGGCAAAGCCUUCUUACCAGGAGGUAAAGAGACUACUUCCCAAGUGUCAUUGGUGAUCAAAGCCUCAAGUUCUUUAGUCAUAGCAUCCUGCCAACCUGGGUAUAAAACAACUUGGGAAAAAGAGACAGGUUCUUGAAUAUAGGAUAAAGAAGUAAUGUAGGCUUGAUUGGCGGGAGAGAGUGCAGAAAAAGCAAGAGGGCAAACAGGAGGAGGAGAAGAAAAACACAGGUCAGACAUUUUAGAAAGAUAGACACUAUUGCAGAUAUAAUCCUGAAGAUACCUCCUUAAGACAAUAGGAUUAGGAAGAGGAAGGGAAGUCGAAAGGGGAGAGAUGGAACCAGAGGAUAAACGAUCAGAAAUAAUAGGAGUAACAGGAAUGGAAGGAGUAAUAGGAGGUGGGACAAUAGGUGGGGAAAUAGAGUCACAAGGGACAUGAGUAGCAGGAGUAUCAAAUGAAAAAAUGGGAACAGAAAGUUGAGCUGAUGCAAAAGGAUAUAUAUCUUCAAAGAACUUAACAUUUCUGGAGAUGAAAUAUUUCUGAGAAUGCAAACUCAAUAAUUUGUAUCCUUUCUUUUCAAAAGGAUACCCAAGAAAAACACAAGGUUCGGCUCUAGGUGCUAAUUUAGAUCUUCCUUGUGAGAGUGUAGAGGCAAAAACAAGACAGCCAAAACAUUUCAAAUGAGAAUAAGUAGGAGGAUGUAGGAAUAGUCUUUCAUAUGGUGUUUUGAAGGAGAACAACUUAGUGGGGCAUCUAUUAAUAAGAUAGGUUGCAGUCAUAAGAGCAUCUCCUCAAAAUUUGUGUGGAAGAUGGGAUUGAAAAAGUAAAGCCCUACAAACUUCCAAAAGAUGUUUAUGUUUCCUUUCGACCACACCAUUUUGUUGUGGUGUGGCUACACAAGAGGUUUGAUGGAUGAUUCCUUGAGAAGAGAGAAAUUUAGAGUGUUCAUAACUGGACCCUAACUCCCAAGCAUUAUCAGAUCUGAUUAUUUUAACCUUUUUGUUGAACUGUCUGUCUACCAUGGCCAAAAAGGACUUGAGUAUAGGGAAAGCAUUGCUUUUAGUGGUAAGUAAAAAUGUCCAGGUACCCCUACUGAAAUCGUCAACAAUGGUCAAAAAAUAUUUAAAACCAUCAUAAAUAGGUGUUUGAAAAGGCCCCCAUGUGUCAAUAUGAAUUAAUUCAAAAAUCUCUUUAGAAGUAAUCUGACUGUUAGGAAAAGAAAGUUUGUGUUGCUUUGCUAAAGGACAAAUAGAACAAGGAACAGAGAAUUUAGAACAAACUGAAACUGGAAUUUCAUUAAUAUGUUGAAUAUUAGAGAGGGGCAUAUGCCCUAACCUUACAUGCCAUAACUUGCUCUUAACAUCAUUAAUGGAAAUACAAGAUAAACUGGAUGUAAAAUCCUUGAAGGAAUGAAAACUAGAACUAGAAUUUGCAGAAGAAAUAAUUGGAAGACUACUCUUGAGAACAUAAAGACCAUUCUGACUUUCACCAAGGAGCAUUAGGCUCUUCAUUGAAGGGCCCUGCAUGAAACAAUGAGAAGAGGUGAAAAAUAAUAGGUUAGAAAAUUGUUUGCACAAUUUGUGGACAGAUAAAAGGUUGAAGUGAAAGCUAGGAAUAAACAAAACAUUGUGAAUAAUUAAAUUAGAGAAAAGUUUGACAGAUCCUGAGUGAUUAACCUGAAUUUUUUGAGAAUUAGGCAAACUAACAUAAAUAGAUUUAGGCAGAGGUUUGAAAUGGAAAAAGAAAUCCUUGUUAUAGCUCAUGUGCUCAGUUGCACCUGAAUCUAUUAUCCAAUUAUUCCUAUUGUAAGAUUUAGGAUUAGCAUGUAAAUUUAAGGAGAAAGGAUUGGGACAUAGAGUUAUACCAGCACAGUUAACAGAAGUUAUUGCCUCAGAAUUGUUGGUGCCUUGGUCACUGUUUUUCACAUGCUGAAGCAUUUGCAUCACUUGAGCUAGUUGUUCUGCAGAAAGUAGUUUUCCUUGAUCUGUCGGCUCUUUAUCAAGUAAGAAAGGGUCUCCAGAGAACUCAUUUGAGGUUACUGCAUGUCCCUGAGCAGAACUCUGAAAAACUUUUUGCCUAGUGAACUUAAAGUUUGGUGGAAAACCAUGCAACUUAGCAUUUUUCAACAAGAUGUCCUGGUUUCUUACAAUAUUUACAGAAGAGAGGGGAUUUUUUGUUAUCAUAAGAAACUCUCUGUGCCCUGAAAUCAGUAGAAAAUGACCUUUGUCCAGCAUUGGCUUGGUUAGCCACAACAAAAGAGGAUGAUUCUCCAGGAAAUUUUGGGGUAUUUUGUACUUCUCUUUGUUUUUCUUCCUGAACCAGCAGUGCAUAAGCAUUUGAAAUAGAGGGUAAAGGUGAUAUCAUUAGAAUAUUACCUCUGGAAGUACAAUAAGAGUCAUUAAGCCCCAUUAGAAAUUUGACUAGACGUUCAUCUUGCGUGGACUUAAUGUUUUUCUCUUUUGCUCCACAGGAACACACACAAGCACAAAGAGUGAAGGAAUCCAAAGUAUCCAACUCAUCCCAGAUUCGUUUGAUUUUGGUAUAAUAAGCAGCAAUAUCAGAUGACCCUUGGACAAGAUCACUGAGAUCCUUUUGAAGUUGAAAGAGUCGAGGCCCAGAACUCUGGCCAAACCUGUCUUCUAAUUCUGCCCAGAUGUCUUUAGCAGUAGAGUAGUACAAAACACUUUCAGAAAUAUCUCUAGAAAGAGAGUUUAAUAAUCAGGAAAUUACCAUAUUGUUGGAUCUAGACC
rnacentral:lncRNA from 1 species